AACGAACGCUGGCGGCAGGCCUAACACAUGCAAGUCGAGCGAGACCUUCGGGUCUAGCGGCGGACGGGUGAGUAACGCGUGGGAACGUGCCCUUUGCUACGGAAUAGCCCCGGGAAACUGAGAGUAAUACCGUAUACGCCCUUCGGGGGAAAGAUUUAUCGGAGAAGGAUUAGCCCGCGUUGGAUUAGGUAGUUGGUGGGGUAAUGGCCUACCAAGCCUACGAUCCAUAGCUGGUUUGAGAGGAUGAUCAGCCACACUGGGACUGAGACACGGCCCAGACUCCUACGGGAGGCAGCAGUGGGGAAUCUUAGACAAUGGGGGAAACCCUGAUCUAGCCAUGCCGCGUGAGUGAUGAAGGCCUUAGGGUUGUAAAGCUCUUUCAGCUGGGAAGAUAAUGACGGUACCAGCAGAAGAAGCCCCGGCUAACUCCGUGCCAGCCGCCGCCGUAA
rnacentral:rRNA from 1 species